GCCCGAAUGGCUUAGUGGUAAAGCGUCUCACUAGUACUGGCUAUCCCAGUCCAAGGACCGGGAGAGUGAAGACGAAAUGAGAAGAUCGCUAGUUCGAUUCUGGCUUUGGGCA
rnacentral:tRNA from 1 species